GGAGUUGUAGCUCAGUGGUAGAGCAUUUGCCUUGCACGUGUGAGACACUGGGUUUGAUUCUCAGCACCA
rnacentral:tRNA from 1 species